UACAGAGGUCUCAAGCGUUGUUCGGAAUCACUGGGCGUAAAGGGUGCGUAGGCGGGUCUUUUAAGUCAGGGGGUGAAAUCCUGGAGCUCAACUCCAGAACUGCCUUUGAUACUGAGGAUCUUGAGUUCGGGGAGAGGUGAGUGGAAACUGCGAGUGUAGAGGUGAAAAUUCGUAGAUAUUCGCAAGAACACCAGUGGCGAAGGCGGCUCACUGGCCCGAUACUGACGCUGAGGCACGAAAAGCGUGGGG
rnacentral:rRNA from 1 species